rnacentral:rRNA from 1 species
GACGAACGCUGGCGGCGUGCUUAACACAUGCAAGUCGAACGGAAAGGCCCUGCUUUUGUGGGGUGCUCGAGUGGCGAACGGGUGAGUAACACGUGAGUAACCUGCCCUUGACUUUGGGAUAACUUCAGGAAACUGGGGCUAAUACCGGGUAGGAGCUCCUGCUGCAUGGUGGGGGUUGGAAAGUUUCGGCGGUUGGGGAUGGACUCGCGGCUUAUCAGCUUGUUGGUGGGGUAGUGGCUUACCAAGGCUUUGACGGGUAGCCGGCCUGAGAGGGUGACCGGCCACAUUGGGACUGAGAUACGGCCCAGACUCCUACGGGAGGCAGCAGUGGGGAAUAUUGCACAAUGGGCGGAAGCCUGAUGCAGCAACGCCGCGUGCGGGAUGACGGCCUUCGGGUUGUAAACCGCUUUCGCCUGUGACGAAGCGUGAGUGACGGUAAUGGGUGAAGAAGCACCGGCUAACUACGUG